rnacentral:rRNA from 3 species
GACGAAGGAUUCAAGCGUUGUCCGGAUUUACUGGGUUUAAAGGGUGCGUAGGCGGAAAUAUAAGUCAGUGGUGAAAUCCCGCAGCUCAACUGCGGAACUGCCAUUGAAACUGCAUUUCUUGAAUACGGUUGAGGUAGAUGGAAUGUAACAUGUAGCGGUGAAAUGCUUAGAUAUGUUACAGAACUCCGAUUGCGAAGGCAGUCUACUAAGCCGUUAUUGACGCUGAGGCACGAAAGCGUGGGGAGCAAACAGG